rnacentral:lncRNA from 1 species
CUUAAAUAUUUCAUACACCUGGGCAGCACCUUGGAAAGCCACUCAAGAAACCCUCCAGUCUUCUCUCUGCCCAAAUCCUCCCCUUCCUUCCAGCCCUGUACAAGCAGAGGAGCCUUCUGGGAUGCGGCAGCCAAUGCUCUGCGUGCCUAAUGCUGUCACUCUGCACCAUGGCAUCCGCGCUGUCUGGCCACAUCAUGGUUAAAAACAUGUCGUUUUCUUCUCUGGUCCCCAAGCGUGAACAGCUGGGCACAGGCUGGUGUCCCAGAGAAGAGAGGAGGAAGGAAAAGCAGCCCUGCAGCCUGUGGAACUGUGAACUGCCCUGCAGUCCAGCCCGUUACCUUCGAGGCUACCCUCAGAUUCCCUCUGAGUGUGAGUUUCCCUGGUGGGGAGCCUAGACCAAGCACAGGAGGCCGCCAUGUGAGGACACAAUGAGAAGGUGGCCAUCUGCAAACCCAGAAGCAGGACCUCCAAAGACACUGGACCUGCCAGCACCCUGAUCUUGGAUUUCUUGGCUCUAAAACUAUAACAAAUAAAUAUGUGUUGUUUAAGUCACCCAGUCCAUGUUAUCUUGCAUAAGCAGCCUGAAUUGACUGAGACACCAUAUCAGACCAAUGAUGGAUCUUUUCUUUGAG